rnacentral:rRNA from 1 species
UAUGCUAUCGUUACCUUUGUUGCUUUGGCGGGCCGCUAGGCUCAGGCCUAGCCACCGGCUCACGCUGGCGAGCGCCCGCCAGAGGACCCAAACCCUGAGUAUUAGUGUCGUCCGAGUACUAUAUAAUAGUUAAAACCUUCAACAACGGAUCUCUUGGUUCUGGCAUCGAUGAAGAACGCAGCGAAAUGCGAUAAGUAAUGUGAAUUGCAGAAUUCAGUGAAUCAUCGAAUCUUUGAACGCACAUUGCGCCCCUCGGUAUUCCGAGGGGCAUGCCUGUUCGAGCGUCAUUACAACCCUCAAGCACCGCUUGGUCUUGGGCUCCGCCGCUGACCCGGCGCGCCCUAAAACGAGUGGCGGCGCCAUCAGGCUCUGAGCGUAGUAGGUUUCCUCGCUAUAGAGCCCUGGUGACGGUGGCCAUCGAACCCCAACUUUCCAAGUUUGACCUCGGAUCAGGUAGGGAUACCCGCUGAACUUAAGCAUAUCAAUAAGCGGAGGAAAAGAAACCAACAGGGAUUGCCUCAGUAACGGCGAGUGAAGCGGCAACAGCUCAAAUUUGAAAUCUGGCCCUCUCAGGGUCCGAGUUGUAAUUUGUAGAAGAUGCUUCGGGCGUGGCUCCGGUCUAAGUUCCUUGGAACAGGACGUCAUAGAGGGUGAG